UCCGACAUCCAAUGUCAUAGAUAAUUCAUUGUCCCCUCUCACCUCCUCAACCAUGGGUAUUGUGAACGUCACCGUCGCUACUCAUUGACGAUUCAGAUUCACAAAGCAAAAAGUCUAUCAUAAAUAGAUUGACAGUUUUCAUAAAUUGGUCGUCUUUGCAAUCGACAGUCUCUUUCCUUUCUUUUCUUUUUGUGUUUAGGGAUUCAGUCUGGUUCCUCUGUGCUUCUUAUUAUUGUGCAGGCGUUACUCGUGUUUUCUUUUAAUCCGAUUUCGUUACCAAAUCCGAAUAGCGCUGCGUGGAAAUUCCUCAAGCUUGAAAUCUUUGUCGCCGUUAUGUAUUGGGCUUGCUAUGGUGUUUUAGAAUUUGUGAUGGAAAGUGGGGCCAAAGGAUGCGAGGUUUGUUUUAUGGACUCCUAAUAUUGUAUUGCUUUAUGUAAUGGUUUGGUUAAUUCAAGGAUGGAUACAUGAUUUCUUCUGGACAACCAGUCAAGGAUCAUUGACUCAGCAGUGAGACACGUGCUACUAAGACAGGUUUGAUUUAUUUUUUCUUCUUUUUCUUCAUAGCCACAUCAUGCAAGGGUAAAUGGAAAGGAGGAUGAUAAAGAAACGAUUUUGGGGAUUGUGUGAGUAAGAAUACAAAAAGGAAUGGCCACUUUUUAACUACUGAUGAUAGCCUCGUAGGACGACAGUGUGAAACAGAAAGCAAACGUUCAUCUUGUGAUUCUUCUGCAAUGCUAAGUCCCGCAUUUCUUUUUAGUUCAGUGAAUUCAUUGAGUGAAGUGAUAAAAAGCUUCACAUAUUGUACCAGUAUAUCUUAUUUUAAAAAAUUAUGAUAUUUUUCUUCA